rnacentral:tRNA from 1 species
GUUUAAAUAGUUUAUUUAGAAUUACAAUUUGUGGAGUUGUAGGUGCUUAAAAUGCUUUAAACC